rnacentral:rRNA from 1 species
GUCCACGCCGUAAACGAUGGAUACUAGCUGUUGGGGGUAACCUCAGUGGCUAAGCGAAAGUGAUAAGUAUCCCACCUGGGGAGUACGUUCGCAAGAAUGAAACUCAAAGGAAUUGACGGGGGCCCCGCACAAGCGGUGGAGCAUGUGGUUUAAUUCGAUGAUACGCGAGGAACCUUACCAAGGCUUAAAUGUAGUUUGACAGGUUUGGAAACAGAUCUUUCUUCGGACAAAUUACAAGGUGCUGCAUGGUUGUCGU